GAAGCGUCUGGAAAGGCGCGCGAUACAGGGUGACAGCCCCGUACACAAAAAUGCACAUGCUGUGAGCUCGAUGAGUAGGGCGGGACACGUGGUAUCCUGUCUGAAUAUGGGGGGACCAUCCUCCAAGGCUAAAUACUCCUGACUGACCGAUAGUGAACCAGUACCGUGAGGGAAAGGCGAAAAGAACCCCGGCGAGGGGAGUGAAAAAGAACCUGAAACCGUGUACGUACAAGCAGUGGGAGCACGCUUAGGCGUGUGACUGCGUACCUUUUGUAUAAUGGGUCAGCGACUUAUAUUCUGUAGCAAGGUUAACCGAAUAGGGGAGCCGAAGGGAAACCGAGUCUUAACUGGGCGUUAAGUUGCAGGGUAUAGACCCGAAACCCGGUGAUCUAGCCAUGGGCAGGUUGAAGGUUGGGUAACACUAACUGGAGGACCGAACCGACUAAUGUUGAAAAAUUAGCGGAUGACUUGUGGCUGGGGGUGAAAGGCCAAUCAAACCGGGAGAUAGCUGGUUCUCCCCGAAAGCUAUUUAGGUAGCGCCUCGUGAAUUCAUCUCCGGGGGUAGAGCACUGUUUCGGCAAGGGGGUCAUCCCGACUUACCAACCCGAUGCAAACUGCGAAUACCGGAGAAUGUUAUCACGGGAGACACACGGCGGGUGCUAACGUCCGUCGUGAAGAGGGAAACAACCCAGACCGCCAGCUAAGGUCCCAAAGUCAUGGUUAAGUGGGAAACGAUGUGGGAAGGCCCAGACAGCCAGGAUGUUGGCUUAGAAGCAGCCAUCAUUUAAAGAAAGCGUAAUAGCUCACUGGUCGAGUCGGCCUGCGCGGAAGAUGUAACGGGGCUAAACCAUGCAC
rnacentral:rRNA from 1 species